AGAUCUGUGUGUAUUUGUAUUUAUGAGACAGCUUACUUAUAUAUAUUUAUAUGUAUGUAAAUAUACGUUUCUGGUCAUCUGUACAUGUACAUGUGAAUAUGCGUGUUUGUAUGUAUAUGUAUAUAUUUGGAUUUAUGUGUGUAUGUGCAUAUAUAUGUAUAUUUGUAUGUUUGUAUCUAUGUAGAAGUAGUACCUCGGUUUUCGAACAACUCUGAUCAUGAAAAAAUCGUGCUUCAUAUAUAUAUAUUAUAAUAAUAAUAAUAUGAGGGAAUAUUAUUCCAAACUUACAGGGGAAAAUUCGGUUUUGAACUACUAAAUCAAAUUUCAAAAAAUAUAAUAUAUAUAUAUAUCUGUAAAAAUAAUAUGUGACAAUUAUUUGGUAGUCAUGAUAAAACUCCGAGUUUCAGAUGCCGAGGUGGAAAUCCACGCCACCAUCUCUGCAGUUAUCUGGCCAUCGGGAAAAUGCCCUUGGAUUUCCACCUUGGCAUCCGAAACUCGGAGUUUUAUCAUGGCUACCGAAUAAUUGUCACAUAUUAUUUUACAGAUAAAUUUUCCUCUAUUUACAUAAUAUCGAGGUCUCUUUCUUUCUUUUGUUGUCUUACCAUUUUCAUCAAAAUAUAUAUACAUAUAUAUAUAUCAUCAUCAUCAUCGUUUAACGUCCGCUUUCCAUGCUAGCAUGGGUUAUAUAUAUAUAUGAAUAUAUAUAAAGCCUGAUUUCUUCGUGAUUAGAGGCGUUUGUAAACCGAGGUACUAUCGUAUUAAAUGAAUAUGAGAAAGACAGGGGAUAAACCACAACCUAUUUGUGAUCGAAAACUGAUGUACCACUGUAUAGUAGUAUGUACAUGUAUGUAUAUAUGUAGGUAUGUAUAUACACACACAUAUAUAUAUAUAUUUCAACAACAAUUGAGGAACGACCACAAUAGGCCGUUUGACCCACUAGAAAGAGCAGCCAGAGCUCCAACCGCAAAUAGUAGUAAUUCCGAAAUUUAAGGAAAAAUAAAAAAAAACAUUUACCCUUAUUCAUCUUUAGACAAUGCAUUGUUUCAGCGUUUUUUAAUGGCAAACCGGCCUGAUUAAAUUAAAUUAAACCCAAUCAAGUCAAUCUUCCAAAAGGCCACGCGCUCAUCGGUAAAGAAGCCAGGAGGGGCAGAAAUUACACGAGGCAGCAAUAUCUAUGCCUAGGUAAUAUCUGACCUAAAAUUUUCAUAGUUAUCGUACUCGCGCCAACUUAUCGGCAGCAAAUUAUAUAUAUAUAUAUAUAUAUAUAUGUGUCUAUAUAUAUGUGUGUGUGUGUAUAUAUAUAUAUGUAUAUUUAUUUGUAGUAUGAAUGUAUAUAUAUUUAUAUGGAUGUGUGUGUUUGAGCAUGUACAUAUAAUACAUACAAACACAUAUAUAUAUAUAAAUAUAUAUAUAUGAAUAUAUAUAUAUAUAUAUAUAUAUACAUAAACAUUUACAAUCAACAGAAGCAUAUAUAUAUGUAUUCAAAACACGACUAUUUUCAAGUUUGAUCUAUUUUAUUAAGGAUAAUUUUUAUCUCAUAUUUCCAUAUUUAAUCUUUAAUUUAAAUUUGUACCAAUAAUUUCCCUAAAUUGUUUCAAGCUAUGACAUAUAAGACUAUUUCCAUGACCCCUUUAUGUCUUACUGCAGAAUACACGAAGGGAUACGUCAGUAACAGCCCUUCGUUUUGAAAACGGGGUUCUCCUUUCUCCAGCUUUUACUUGUUUCAGUCAUUGGGUUGCGACCACGCUGGAGCAUCAUCUUGAAGGGUUUUAGUCAAACAAAUCAACCCCAGUACUCAUUGGUUUAUAAGCUUUGGUACUUACUCUGUUGGUCUCUCUUGCUGAUCUGCUAAGUUACAGGGGGACAUAAACAAGCUGAAACGGAUUGUCAAGCUGUGGUGGGGACAAUGACACAUACAUACAAACACACACGCUAACCAACCACUAGGGUUAUCCCAGAAACAGCUGUUAAGACUUCAAACUCACCUUACCCUAAUUAAAUUAAUGUAAAUGAUUUGAGAUACUCGUUCUGCCUUGGUUUUGAUUUUUCCUGUAAUAUAAUAUAUAUAUAUAUAUAUAUAUAGGCGCAGGAGUGGCUGUGUGGUAAGUAACUUGUUUACCAACCACAUGGUUCCGGGUUCAGUCCCACUGCGUGGCACCUUGGGCAAGUGUCUUCUACUAUAGCCUCAGGCCGACCAAAGCCUUGUGAGUGGAUUUGGUAGACGGAAACUGAAAGAAGCCUGUUGUAUAUAUGUAUAUAUAUAUAUAUAUAUGUAUGUAUGUGUGUGUAUGUGUUUGUGUGUCUGUGUUUGUUCCCCUAGCAUUGCUUGACAACCGAUGCUGGUGUGUUUAUGUCCCCGUUACUUAGCAGUUUGGCAAAAGAGACCGAUAGAAUAAGUACUGGGCUUACAAAAGAAUAAAUCCUGGGGGUCGCUUUGCUCGAUUAAAGGUGGUGCUCCAGCAUGGCUGUCAAAUGACUGAAACAAGUAAAAGAGUAAAGAGAUAUACAUAUAGGCGCAGGGGUGGCUGUGUGGUAGUAACUUGUUUACCAACCACAUCAGUCCCACUGCGUGGUACCUUGGGCAAAUGUCUUCUACUAUAGCCUCAGGCCGACCAAAGCCUUGUGAGUGGAUUUGGUAGACGGAAACUGAAAGAAGCCUGUUGUAUAUAUGUAUAUAUAUAUAUAUAUAUAUAUGUAUGUGUGUGUAUGUGUUUGUGUGUCUGUGUUUGUCACCCUAGCAUUGCUUGACAACCGAUGCUGGUGUGUUUAUGUCCCCGUUACUUAGCGGUUCGGCAAAAGAGACCGAUAGAAUAAGUACUGGGCUUAUAAAAAAGAAUAAGUCCCGGGAUCGAGUUGCUCGAUUAAAGGCGGUGCUCCAGCAUGGCCACAGUCAAAUGACUGAAACAAGUAAAAGAGUAAAGAGAUAUAUAUAUAUAGUGAUGUGUGUGUGUGUGUGUGUGUGUGGGCACUGCCAGCAUGGGAAGUUCUCAGCUCUGUUGAGGGUACGAGACUGAGUAAUACCGUUUGGUUGAUAACUGAUGAAGAAUUAGGGACCUUCUGUCUGUGUGUCCGUCUCCUGUCUGGUUGUACAGUCAGUAUAUAUUGUAUGUUGUUUACCCUGUUGCUGUUUAUUUACAAUACAUUUUGUCAUAUAUCAU
rnacentral:lncRNA from 1 species